CAUGGACCCGGCUCCUUGUCGGGUGGCUAUGCCGGGCGCCUAUCCCUCGGCCAACG
rnacentral:ncRNA from 1 species